CUGGAAACUUCCCUUGUGCUAUGGAUGAACUUGAUGGUAGUCGUGUCCGCCCGAGGAAGACCUGGUUCACUGGUGCCAUGGUGCUCCAGGUACAAUAUAUCUCUUAGCAAAAGCCUAUAUGAUAUAUAAGGACAAGAAAUAUUUAGACUCUUGUUUGAAAUGUGGUGAAAUCACAUGGCAUAAAGGACUGUUGAGAAAGGGUCCAGGGAUUUGUCAUGGAGUUGCAGGCAGUGGCUACGUUUUUCUAACUCUUUAUCGACUCACUGGAGACAAAAUGCAUCUUCACAGAGCGCUGCAAUUCUCCAGUUUCCUUUAUUCCAAGGAAUUUGUGAAAGCUCGGACACCUGACAGCCCCUACAGUUUGUAUGAAGGUUUAUCUGGCACUGUAUGUUUUAUUGCAGAUCUUGUGGAUCCACAGCACUCUUCAUUCCCUCUUUUCAAUAUUUUUUAAAGGUGUCCUUCCUUUUAUUUAUUUGAAUCUGACUGUAUAUGUAAAUAGGGCAGUUUUUGUACCAUGAAAGUCUGUUAGCCAUGUAUGUUACUUUUUGAUAUUGCAAUAUUUUUUCUUGUAAAUGUGAUCCAUAUUACACAUUACUGCACUCAAGACUUAAUAGCCCCAAAUGCUUUGUUUAAAGCCCCUAACAGUUCUAGCAUAUUUGUUACACACCUAGAAAAUUCAAGAUAGUACUUCCCAUCAGCAGCAUACCUGCAUAUCCUCCAUAGUUUUCAUCCAAUUUAUUUUCCUCAAGUUGAGAUUAGACGGAGCUGUAGCAUAAUUCUGGAUUUAUAUAAUUUUGUGUUCAAAUAAAUGUGACAAGGGUCAAUUCUUGCAUAUUGUAAA